rnacentral:rRNA from 1 species
AGGGGGACCUUCGGGCCUCUUGCCAUCGGAUGUGCCCAGAUGGGAUUAGCUAGUUGGUGAGGUAACGGCUCACCAAGGCGACGAUCCCUAGCUGGUCUGAGAGGAUGACCAGCCACACUGGAACUGAGACACGGUCCAGACUCCUACGGGAGGCAGCAGUGGGGAAUAUUGCACAAUGGGCGCAAGCCUGAUGCAGCCAUGCCGCGUGUAUGAAGAAGGCCUUCGGGUUGUAAAGUACUUUCAGCGGGGAGGAAGGGGUUAAGGUUAAUAACCUUAGCCAUUGACGUUACCCGCAGAAGAAGCACCGGCUAACUCCGUGCCAGCAGCCGCGGUAAUACGGAGGGUGCAAGCGUUAAUCGGAAUUACUGGGCGUAAAGCGCACGCAGGCGGUCUGUCAAGUCGGAUGUGAAAUCCCCGGGCUCAACCUGGGAACUGCAUUCGAAACUGGCAGGCUUGAGUCUCGUAGAGGGGGGUAGAAUUCCAGGUGUAGCGGUGAAAUGCGUAGAGAUCUGGAGGAAUACCGGUGGCGAAGGCGGCCCCCUGGACGAAGACUGACGCUCAGGUGCGAAAGCGUGGGGAGCAAAACAGGAUUAGAUACCCUGGUAGUCCACGCCGUAAACGAUGUCUAUUUGGAGGUUGUGCCCUUGAGGCGUGGCUUCCGGAGCUAACGCGUUAAAUAGACCGCCUGGGGAGUACGGCCGCAAGGUUAAAACUCAAAUGAAUUGACGGGGGCCCGCACAAGCGGUGGAGCAUGUGGUUUAAUUCGAUGCAACGCGAAGAACCUUACCUGGUCUUGACAUCCACAGAACUUGGCAGAGAUGCCUUGGUGCCUUCGGGAACUGUGAGACAGGUGCUGCAUGGCUGUCGUCAGCUCGUGUUGUGAAAUGUUGGGUUAAGUCCCGCAACGAGCGCAACCCUUAUCCUUUGUUGCCAGCGGUCCGGCCGGGAACUCAAAGGAGACUGCCAGUGAUAAACUGGAGGAAGGUGGGGAUGACGUCAAGUCAUCAUGGCCCUUACGACCAGGGCUACACACGUGCUACAAUGGCAUAUACAAAGAGAAGCGACCUCGCGAGAGCAAGCGGACCUCAUAAAGUAUGUCGUAGUCCGGAUUGGAGUCUGCAACUCGACUCCAUGAAGUCGGAAUCGCUAGUAAUCGUGGAUCAGAAUGCCACGGUGAAUACGUUCCCGGGCCUUGUACACACCGCCCGUCACACC